CUCUUUUCCACGGGGGUGAUAUUGUCUCAGUCUCUUGAGGAAGCCAUUUUAAUUAACAGUGGCCUUGGUGCUGACCCUGGUGGUAAUUUUCUUAUUGGGAUGUGGUGCUCUCUCUCCACUGUAUGUGUUAGGGCUGCUUCUACA